CCUACGGGGGGCAGCAGUGGGGAAUAUUGCACAAUGGGGGGAACCCUGAUCCAGCGACGCCGCGUGAGUGAAGAAGUAUUUCGGUAUGUAAAGCUCUAUCAGCAGGGAAGAAAAUGACGGUACCUGACUAAGAAGCCCCGGCUAACUACGUGCCAGCAGCCGCGGUAAUACGUAGGGGGCAAGCGUUAUCCGGAUUUACUGGGUGUAAAGGGAGCGUAGACGGGGCAGCAAGUCUGAUGUGAAAGGUCGGGGCCCAACCCCGGGACUGCAUUGGAAACUGUUGAACUGGAGUACAGGAGAGGUAGGCGGAAUUCGGAGUGUAGCGGGGAAAGGGGUAGUAAUAAGGAGGAAAACCAGGGGCGAAGGCGGCUUACUGGACUUUA
rnacentral:rRNA from 1 species